rnacentral:tRNA from 2 species
GGGCGUAUGGUGUAGAAGGAAGCAUUCGAGGCUGCGAAGUUCGAGAUCCGGGUUCAAGUCCCGGUACGCUCUCCA